GACGAACGCUGGCGGCGUGCUUAACACAUGCAAGUCGAACGGAAAGGCCCUGCUUUUGUGGGGUGCUCGAGUGGCGAACGGGUGAGUAACACGUGAGUAACCUGCCCUUGACUUUGGGAUAACUUCAGGAAACUGGGGCUAAUACCGGAUAGGAGCUCCUGCUGCAUGGUGGUGGUUGGAAAGUUUCGGCGGUUGGGGAUGGACUCGCGGCUUAUCAGCUUGUUGGUGGGGUAGUGGCUUACCAAGGCUUUGACGGGUAGCCGGCCUGAGAGGGUGACCGGCCACAUUGGGACUAAGAUACGCCGCAGACUCCUACGGGAGGCAGCAGUGGGGAAUAUUGCACAAUGGGCGGAAGCCUGAUGCAGCAACGCCGCGUGCGGGAUGACGGCCUUCGAGUUGUAAACCGAUUUCGCCUGUGACGAAGCGUGAGUGACGGUAAUGGGUAAAGAAGCACCGGCUAACUACGUG
rnacentral:rRNA from 1 species